ensembl:lncRNA
CGGGCAGAGCAGCGCGGCCGCUCCUCAGCCCUGGCCAGCCGGAGUCACCGCCGCCGCUGCCACCUCGACGGCGGGUACUGGGUGGAAAGGCUGUGCUGUGAAGGGGACAGAAGGGAUUCCCGCGGGACCCAGGCCCCCUGAGAUCUUCGAGAAGGUUCCGGCAACCGUCCCGCAUGCUCCUUCCAUCCAGAACAAUAAGGACAAGCGGGGGAACUCUCUCCUAGCGCCAGGGCGGCCACCUAGUUGACAAUACCUUGAUUCUCUAUCUCAGGAGCGCAGUGGAUCUGCAGCGUGGAGCCAGCCAGCACCACUGAAAACCACCUGUUUUGUGUUUUGAAAGCCUGGAAGCACAUCAUCCUCCAGCCGCACAGACCUCCCACUGAGUCCCAAUUUCCUAUCCAAACUCCAGAUUUGAGUUCUCAGCUCACUUGAAGAACAGAAGAGCUCCGCUGCAUAUUCAGUCUGGUCUUGCCUUCCUGGCUGAACUUGCCAAUGGUCCCCCACUCCGGAGAGGAGUGAUCUUGUUAAGUCAUAAGCUUGGCAGGCCCUGGGGCCAUCCUCAGACUUGUCAGAGGUUAGAGUGCCUGCCAAGUCAGAGUCGUCCCUGCAGGACACCGUGUCGCCGAUCAGUCCCCUCAAGUGUUCUAGGAGUAAUUUUACAAGCAAAAACUAUGCCGUGUACUAUACAUUGAAAUCACAACCACGAGUUACAGGUUCACACACACGCACACAAAAGAAACUAUUGAAGUCUCUGAUUAGCAGUUUCUGAAUAUUUUGGUGAUGCUAAUU